AGAGUUUGAUCCUGGCUCAGAACGAACGCUGGCGGCAGGCUUAACACAUGCAAGUCGAGCGCCCCGCAAGGGGAGCGGCAGACGGGUGAGUAACGCGUGGGAAUCUACCCUUUUCUACGGAAUAACGCAGGGAAACUUGUGCUAAUACCGUAUGAGCCCUUCGGGGGAAAGAUUUAUCGGGAAAGGAUGAGCCCGCGUUGGAUUAGCUAGUUGGUGGGGUAAAGGCCUACCAAGGCGACGAUCCAUAGCUGGUCUGAGAGGAUGAUCAGCCACAUUGGGACUGAGACACGGCCCAAACUCCUACGGGAGGCAGCAGUGGGGAAUAUUGGACAAUGGGCGCAAGCCUGAUCCAGCCAUGCCGCGUGAGUGAUGAAGGCCCUAGGGUUGUAAAGCUCUUUCACCGGUGAAGAUAAUGACGGUAACCGGAGAAGAAGCCCCGGCUAACUUCGUGCCAGCAGCCGCGGUAAUACGAAGGGGGCUAGCGUUGUUCGGAAUUACUGGGCGUAAAGCGCACGUAGGCGGAUUGUUAAGUGAGGGGUGAAAUCCCAGGGCUCAACCCUGGAACUGCCUUUCAUACUGGCAAUCUAGAGUCCAGAAGAGGUGAGUGGAAUUCCGAGUGUAGAGGUGAAAUUCGUAGAUAUUCGGAGGAACACCAGUGGCGAAGGCGGCUCACUGGUCUGGAACUGACG
rnacentral:rRNA from 1 species